UACGUAGGGUGCAAGCGUUGUCCGGAAUUAUUGGGCGUAAAGAGCUCGUAGGCGGUCUGUCGCGUCUGCUGUGAAAACCUAGGGCUUAACUCUGGGCGUGCAGUGGGUACGGGCAGGCUAGAGUGCGGUAGGGGGAGACUGGAAUUCCUGGUGUAGCGGUGAAAUGCGCAGAUAUCAGGAGGAACACCGGUGGCGAAGGCGGGUCUCUGGGCCGUAACUGACGCUGAGGAGCGAAAGCAUGGGGAGCGAACAGGAUUAGAUACCUGG
rnacentral:rRNA from 1 species